GCAGCUGUUGGCCAGGCACCUAGCUCUGAAGGUGGCACCCUGCCAGCAACAGCACAAAAGUAAGGGUGGCAAUACCAUACCAUGGCACCCUUACUUCUGUGCUGCUGCCUUCAGAGCUGAGUG